AGAGGACUACUGGAUUAAGUGUAGCUUGAAGCCAGAUCCAGGGCAGUUAUAUAGCUUAUAUUGUUGCUGAAGGUUUGCUUACUUAUCAGAAACUGUUAAAGCUGUAAUACAGCACUUUAUUUUGAAGAAAAAUGAGAAAAAGCAUGCUUUUUUACCAUGCGUAAUAGGUGUGAAAUCUAUUCAACCUAUAACUUGCUAAGGGUAACUAAAACUGAGAGAGUGUCAAUAUAAAAAACAUGCAUCAAGUAAAGCUACGUGCCACUAAAACACUUUCAUUAUCACUAGUGCUUCAUACAGAUCAUAAGAUCCCAAAAUGUCUGUUUUUAAAGGCGUAUCUGUUCAACCUAUAUCACAAAAAGUAAGUAAAAUUAGGAUAAAGGACAAAAACUAUAACAAAGAUCAGGGUUUUUCACAUGCCUUUAGCCUAUUAUAUAAGCCACAGACGGCACUUUGGAAAAAUAAUAGCUGUAUUCGUUAAUUGUGCCAUCACAAAGGCAAUUUCAAUGAUAACAUGGGCCGCGAGAGGCGGCAAAGAUUCUGUCAACAAAACUAUGCUUAACCGUCACAAAGAACAGUCAUGAACUCCCAAGACCUAUCUGUUCAUCAUCGAUAGUAAAUAAAAUUCAAAUUAAUACAGUUGGAGACUAGGAGAAGAGCUUGUGUAGUCCUUCCAUUGCUUUCCCACCAUUACAGAGUCUGUCCGUGUGACGUCAUCAGUUUCCAAUCCCUGUUACUUAGUAAUACAAUCUAUGAUUGUAAUUAUAAUAUAGACCCAUUGCAGACACGCCCAUUUUGUGUAAAUAAACAUAGCAACCGUUGCUACCCGCCAUCUUGGAGGACAUGUGGCAUGAGUUGCCAUACUUGUCACUACUAGUGGUGCUUUUUGCUUGCAAAUCUUCUUCUUACCUAUUUCUUGCAACUCACUGAUGGUUUAGAGCUUAAAGCUAACCUACUUGGUCAAUUUGAAGUUCAUAUUAGGCCGGGGCGAGCCUCGACUGCCGGCCAGACAGAUAGCUCAGUAAUAACGAAUUCCAUGGUGAGUAGAGUUAUGGAACUACUCUACAUAAGGAACAGGCUGACUACUGGCUGCCUGAUGAUCAUUAGCAGCCCCGGGCCAGGCUCAAACUCGGCCCGUAUUGAGGUCCCACUAUUUUGGUCAGUGAGCUGUUACUUCAAGACAAUAGCAUAAAUAAUGAUUAUAUACAUUCAAAUUUGUUAAUAAAUUGACUUUUAUUUCUGUAAAAA